GCCUUGGUAGUGUAGUGGUCUAGCAUUCGAGCUUGUCGAGCUUGAGACCCGGGUUCGAAUCCCGGCCAAGGCG
rnacentral:tRNA from 1 species